rnacentral:rRNA from 1 species
CCUACGGGCGGCAGCAGUGAGGAAUAUUGGUCAAUGGACGAGAGUCUGAACCAGCCAAGUAGCGUGAAGGAUGACUGCCCUAUGGGUUGUAAACUUCUUUUAUAUGGGAAUAAAAUGUUCCACGUGUGGGAUUUUGUAUGUACCAUAUGAAUAAGGAUCGGCUAACUCCGUUCCAGCAGCCGCGGUAAUACGGAGGAUCCGAGCGUUAUCCGGAUUUAUUGGGUUUAAAGGGAGCGUAGGUGGCUUGUUAAGUCAGUUGUGAAAGUUUGCGGCUCAACCGUAAAAUUGCAGUUGAAACUGGCAGUCUUGAGUGCAGGAGGAGUGAAUGGAAUUCCCAGUGUAGCGGUGGAAUGCGUAGAUAUUGGGAAGAACACCAGCGGCGAAGGCGAUUCACUGGACUGUAACUGACACUGAGGCACGAAAGCGUGGGGAGCAAACAGGAUUAGAUACCCGUGUAGUC